rnacentral:rRNA from 1 species
GAUGAACGCUGGCGGCGUGCAUAACACAUUCAAGUCGAACGGUGACGGGACUUCGGUCCCUGAUCAGUGGCGGACGGGUGAGUAACGCGUGAGCAACCUGCCCUUAUGUGGGGGACAACAGUUGGAAACGACUGCUAAUACCGCAUUAUGUAACGAGACCGCAUGAUCUUGUUACCAAAGAUUUAUUGCUGAGAGAUGGCCUCGCGUCUGAUUAGCUAGUUGGUGGGGUAACGGCCCACCAAGGCGACGAUCAGUAGCCGGUCUGAGAGGAUGAACGGCCACAUUGGGACUGAGAUACGGCCCAGACUCCUACGGGAGGCAGCAGUGGGGAAUAUUGGGCAAUGGGGGAAACCCUGACCCAGCAACGCCGCGUGAAGGAAGAAGGCUUUCGGGUUGUAAACUUCUUUUAGCAGGGACGAAGGACGUGACGGUACCUGCAGAAAAAGCAACGGCUAACUACGUGCCAGCCGCCGCCGUAAUAC